rnacentral:tRNA from 1 species
GAGGGUAUAACCCAAGUGGUUAGAGCACAUGCUCAGCAUGCACGAGGUUCUGGGUUCAAUCCCCAGUACCUCCA